GUCUGUGUAUUGGGAACCGUCGCUGGUGCCUCACCAAAAUGCCGUGAUCAUGUCCUAAGUUGCCAGGCCAUGAUGCCUCUUCUGGGUCAAUUCAACGAGCAUCCAAUGGUGAGGAAAGCUGAACGGACAUUAUCAAAUUUCUGCAGAGGGAAGCCGCAACCAGCCAUUGAGCAGACAACACCAGCUUUACCAGUUCUUGAGCGUCUUUUACAUUCAGAUGACCAAGGAGUUCAGAUGCAUCCAGGGCUCUCUCAUAUCUCUCUCUGAUGGUACAAAUGAGAAAAUAUACAAACUGUUAUCGACUCUGGUAUCAUCCCUCGCCUUGUUCUGCUCUUAACUCAUCCGUCUCCUUCAGUUCUGGUUCCAGCUCUCCGUAUAUUGUUACCGGAGAUGAUAUGCAGACUCAGGCAGUUAUAAGUAGUCAUGCGCUUCCUGGUCUGUUAAACAUAUUGAACAACACAUACGAGAAGAGCAUCAAGAAGGAAACUUGCUGGACUAUCUCUAACAUUACAGCUGGGAACACAAUUCAAAUUCAACAAGUGAUUCAAGCUGGCCUUAUUCAGCCUCUGUUGGAUCUGCUUCAGACCAGUGAAUUUUGAAAUAAAAAGGAAGCACUUUGGGCAGCAAGUGAUUCAAGCUCAUGUUUUCUGUUUGGGAAUUGCCUAAAGUGCUUUCUUUUUAUUUCAAAUACAGGAACAGGCGCUCGUACACCGAUCAAGCAAAGGAGCAAGGGUUUAAUAGAAGUACACAAGGUGAUAACUGGGAGAAAGUCAAUCAGAUCAGAGACAAAUUUGAGUUUGAUAGAGAAAGGAGAAUGAGAGAUAAAGCACCGGGCUCUGAAGUCUCUAAAGACUUGAAUUGGAAUGCACAAAGAAGGCCCUUUGAUGCUGAGAGAUACACAAGAGACUGAAUACGUUAACAUCACAUGAGAGCAAGUAAUCGAGAUGGAGCUUGGCAUUGAUUUAUUAGAUAUUCCUGUGAACAUAAGUUAUCAUUACUUUGCACAAGUAUGUAUUCAGUUACAAGAUGACGUAGCGCGGGUCUUAAUGUUUUUCCAGGUUAUUGUGUCUCCUGGUAGUCCUAUGUGUAAUCCAUGUAAUGAAACGUAAAAUAACCUGUGUAAACCUUAAAUCCCGCGCUGAAAUUGUGUGUACGUGUUUAGAUCCCCGUUGGGUGCUUUAACGUGGGGACUUCU